GCAUGUCUAAGUAUGAACGCUCCUCAUUGUGAAACUGCGAAUGGCUCAUUAAAUCAGUUAUAGUUUAUUUGAUGGUACCUCCUACUUGGAUAACUGUGGUAAUUCUAGAGCUAAUACAUGCAGCAAGUCCCGACUUCUGGAAGGGACGUAUUUAUUAGAUACAAAACCAAUGCAGCUUCGGCUGGUCCCUUGGUGAUUCAUGAUAACUGCUCGAAUCGCAUGGCCUUGCGCCGGCGAUGGUUCAUUCAAGUUUCUGCCCUAUCAACUGUCGAUGGUAGGGUAUUGGCCUACCAUGGUUGCAACGGGUGACGGAGAAUUAGGGUUCGAUUCCGGAGAGGGAGCCUGAGAAACGGCUACCACAUCCAAGGAAGGCAGCAGGCGCGCAAAUUACCCAAUCCCGACUCGGGGAGGUAGUGACAAAAAAUACUGAUACCGGGCUCACAAAGUCCGGCAAUCGGAAUGAGAACAACUCAAACCCCUUAUCGAUGAACAAUUGGAGGGCAAGUCUGGUGCCAGCAGCCGCGGUAAUUCCAGCUCCAAUAGCGUAUAUUAAAGUUGUUGCAGUUAAAAAGCUCGUAGUUGGAUUUCGGGGCGGUCCCGUCGGUCCGUCGUGAGACUGGCACUGACGGGCCUCCCUUCCUCUCGAAGUCCCCGUCUGCUCUUCACUGCAGUGGAGUGGGGAAUUCGUGACGUUUACUGUGAAAAAAUUAGAGUGUUCAAAGCAGGCAGCCGCUUGAAUACAUUAGCAUGGAAUAAUGGAAUAGGACUUGGGUCCUAUUUUGUUGGUUUCCGGGACCGAAGUAAUGAUUAAUAGGGACAGUCGGGGGCAUUCGUAUUUAAUUG
rnacentral:rRNA from 1 species